AAUAUACUCCCUCCGUUCGGAAUUACUCGUCCAAGAAAUGAAUGUAUCUAGAUGUAUUUUAGUUGUACAUACAUCCAUUUUUAUGACAAGUAAUUCCGAACGGAGGGAGUAUGUC
rnacentral:pre_miRNA from 1 species